rnacentral:tRNA from 1 species
GCCAGAAUGGUGUAGUGGUUUGAGUGCUGGACUGUGAGUCUGGAGACCAGGGUUCGAUUCCCAGCUCGGUCG